GGAACCACUAUGAAACCAUCAGGGUGAGUGUAUUGCUUGAUUAUCUUACCAGGCUCAUGUUCUUGGAUUAAUUAGAUAAGCACAUUGUGGUUGUUGGUUGGCACUUGUCUUUAACCUGUUUAUUUUUAUAUUUUAGCUGUUAGAAUGGCAAUGUAUGAUGGACUUGCUGUAUGUGAUAUUUGCCUUUAUGUAGUUCUGCCAGCUUAUUUUGCAUGGCAAAAAUUAGGAUCUUUCUAGUUAGUUUGGUUUUUCAAUGUCACUGUAGCCUAAGGUUUCAUCUUGUGCCUGCUUAUUUGUGAGAAGCAUAUAGGUUUGUAUUCUUUUAUUAUUCUUGGCUGUUAAAUUUUAGUAAAUCAAAGCCAUUCUGGUAUGUGUAUUUUAUUAUGCUUUUUAGUGCUUUAAUUAAUGUUACUGUGAAUUGAAAACAUGCCAAUCAUAUCUUGAUAUUUGGCAUGUUCAUUUUGUUGGCUGUAUAAAUUGUUCUUAUAGUGUUCAGCCUGACAGUUGCAUAUCGAUUUUAAUGACAGUGGGUUGUUGCCUUCUCUUCUCCAUUUGCUGCUAUUAUUGCCGCUGGUUGAAUUGAUGAGUAAUUUUAUGUCUAAUUAUCUUCUUGUCCACAGGAGCUGGAGAAGAA
rnacentral:misc_RNA from 1 species